rnacentral:tRNA from 1 species
GAACAUAUAGCUCAAGUGGUAGAGCACAUGCUUAGCAUGCACAAGGUCCUGGGUUCAAUUCCCAGUACGUUCU